GAACCUCAGCAGCCUGUUCCAAGUGCCGCGUGCGCGCAGCUCUGAAAUUCUUGACAAGGCUGACCGACAGGUUUCUGUUGGGGGUGGAUAUGUUUGUGGAAACCCUGUGAAAAGUUUGGGCAGAGCUCUUGGAAGUUCUCGGGCUUGAUGGAAUGCACCAUUUCAUUAAAAAUCAUAUACCUUGGAAAACUGCAGAAAAGGAGACAAGAUUGUGCUUCACUGAGUUCUGAGCCAUCUCUGGAAGAUAAAGAAGCAGUACUGGGCGAAGAGAAAAGUUGCCAUGGGAUAUAGUCUCAGCAGAAAAUCUCAACUAACUUCUCUGAUGCUGGAUAGACUUCCACAGUUAUCCCCAUAUAGGGUGAGGGUACUAGGCCCUCAUACAUGUGAUUUCAUGUGAGCUACGCUGGGUGGAGGGAAAGGUCCUGGGAAUCCUGACUCGUUUCAGAUGAACCGGUUCUUAAAAGGCCUGACAGCUGAGGGUUGUUUGCCGUUAGGCUUCCUGGGAACUAAAUA